ensembl:lncRNA
UUUUUUUCCACCAGAAGCCAUUCAGCCGUGUGGAGAAGACACUUGGAUUUGGUUAACAAGCCCUUGAAGUAGAGGCUGUUUCGACAAUGGAGUCAGCAGCUGAAAGUAGAGCUAAUGGGCCUUUCCGGGCCUCGUUGUCUCUUACGUACAUGGUCGAAGCACUGGUGGUAUGUGUGAACUUCCCUUUCUGCUUCAGUAGAAGAGAAGACGUAGAAGCAGUCAGAAAACUGCCGUGUUCCUGCGUCUUUGGGUCUGAUCUUGUGUGUCACAGAAAUAGGAGGGGGAGAAGACCAGGGCCCCCUUUGUCUCCCAGUUACCAACAAUGAAACCAAGGAUGCUAAAUGUGCAAGGCAUUAGAGGAGAGAAAGCUUAGGCUGUGAUGCAACCAGACACCUCCCACAUCACCAAAAAGGAGGAGGAAAGAGGACCCUGAUGAGUAUACAAUGGCUUCUUCCGUAUUGAUACCUAGGGGUGCAAUUAUGUGUGUGUGGGGGGUUGAUCAAUGACUUGUGUGCCUGAGGCUCCAAUCCUUUGGCCAUCUCAUGAGAAGAGAAGACUCCCUGGAAAAGACCCUGAUGUUGGGAAAGUGUGAAGGCAAGAGGAGAAGGGGAAUGACAGAGGAUGAGAUGGCUGGACAGGGGCACUGAAGCGACAAACAUGAAUUUGACACAACUCUGGGAGGCAGUGGAAGACAGGAGGGCCUGGCGUGCUCUGGUCCAGGGGGUCAUGAAGAGUCGGACACGACUUAAUGACUAAAUAAACAACAAAAAGGUGUGGACUGGGUGUCCCUUCCUAUGGAAGACAUCUUCCAAAGGAUGGUUCUCCUCUGGCGUCCCUGCAGAGACAAGACCCCCCUUCCCAGCAAGAAGACACAGGGCUGCCCUAGUCGGACGGUUCAGGUUUCCUGACGUGGUUUAAGCCCAAAGGAUGGAGACGGCCCCCAAGCCGAGAACGUCCUACGAUGGGAAUGCCAAAGCUGAGCUUGGAGAGAUGGAAGUCAGGAAGGAAAGCUGGGAGUGGGGGAAGGAGAGAGAGCGGUGGAGUUCAGGGAAGGAUCGGGCUGCUUGGCCCCCUUCCACGGCAUUACUGGGUCCGAUGGAAUGCAUCCCAGGGCUUCCUUUCAAACGACGUACAAGGUUAAUGCACAGCUCCAUAUGUCCUGCGUGUCAUCAGCUGCAUGAUAAACGGGUUUGGUCUUGAUUCCAGCUAUUUUGGAAAAUGGGAAGCAGCGCAACUGAGUCGCGCACAGAUGUCUUCAUUAAGGACCAUUUAUUAAAGCCUCCAGGAAUGCAGAGCAGCAUCUGACCUCCACGGGACACGAAAUGUAACCAAAAUGGGCCUCGGAUUGUCUUGGCCGCCAUGGAGGCAAAGCAACAGGGCCCAGCUGUUCCUCUAGGCCUCUGCACCCGUCUGAAUGCAUUCCCUCCUGCUCCGUCCUGAAAUGUUUCUUUUCUUGAAGGCUGAAAUGUGCAUUGAAGGUGUCUAGUCUUUGGGCCAUUGUUACAUUUCCCAUACUUAUUGGCAAUUUCUUGUUGCAAUUUUGACAGAUUCGGUUCCCACAGUUUGGAGCAGUUUUAUCAGUAUCCCAUCUAUCCCAGUUAUUUAUUUCUUCCGAGUGCUUUCAAGAGAGCUUUCAUUUCACUUUCUAAAAUGGCAGAUUCUUCCAAGUAGUCCAUCAGUCUUGCUUCUCUUCUGUAUCAUUCCCACCCCCCAAUAUAACUUCUACUCUCACUUUAUUUACUCUCUAUAUCGUUUUUUCAUGACUGCAACCACCUGGAUAAAGCGAAUGGCUUUGAGUUAUACUUGGGCCUUAUUCCCUGCCAUUAUCCCUUGCUGGGUGGUGUCAAAAUGCUACGCACCUUCACCAAUGAGAAAUGUCUCUUGUUUGGAACCCUUUUUAAAAUAUUUUGGAUUUGAGGGAGGGUUUUUUUGGGAGGGUUUCCCCCCUUUUCUCUGCAGUACAUAACUGUCAUGGUACAUCUGUGGCCGUGUCAUAAACCUGAGGGGUGUGUGCUAAUUUGGUUGACAGCAGGUGGGGAGUGUCACCUGCA